UACGUAGGGGUCGAGCGUUGUCCGGAGUUACUGGGCGUAAAGCGUGUGCAGGCGGCUCAUUGCGCCCGGCGUGAAAGCCCCCGGCUCAACCGGGGAGAGUCGUCGGGGACGGGUGAGCUUGAGGGUAUCAGGGGCUGGUGGAAUUCCCGGUGUAGUGGUGAAAUGCGUAGAUAUCGGGAGGAACACCCGUGGCGAAGGCGGCGACCUGGUCCGAGACUGACGCUGAGGCGCGAAAGCGUGGGGAGCAAACAGG
rnacentral:rRNA from 1 species